ensembl:snoRNA LOC120100317 small nucleolar RNA SNORD116
GGAUCGAUGAUGAUUUUCAAUAAAACAUUCCUUGGUAAGCUGAACAAAAUGAGUGAAAACUCAAUACCGCCACUAUCAUCGUGACUGAGGUCC